UCUCCGUUGGUGAACCAGCGGAGGGAUCAUUACAGAGAAUCUUCUCUUAAAACCCUGUGAACCUACCUUUGUUGCCUCGGGGGGCCGCCCGGGAGGCCGCGUUCUGCGCGGUACCCGGGAGCCACGGCGCCCCGGUGGCCCUUCAAACUCUUGUAUUGUAUGACCUAUCAGAAACACUAUGUAAUAGUUAAAACUUUCAGCAACGGAUCUCUUGGUUCUGGCAUCGAUGAAGAACGCAGC
rnacentral:misc_RNA from 1 species